ACCCUCAUUUUUCCUCGCAGCCGCCUCUCUCCUAUCUCUAAAAUCUAACCCUAAUCUCUCAUCAUCUCUCUUUCCUAAUUUCUCAAUCUUCUGAUUCUCAUUCUCUCAAUCAUCAUCCUCUUAAUCUCAAUCUUCUUCCUAUCAUCUUCCUCUCGAUUAAAUCUCUCAUUUUCCUCUCAAUUCUCGAAGGUUCCUAACGCACUAGUUCUCAUCUUCUCUGUGAUUGAACCUCUAAUCUUCCUCUCGAAGGUUCAUGACUCUCGGUGUACCUCUGGUUUGCAGUGGUUUUGGUUCUAAAAAUCUUUGAGUCAGUGGAAGUUAUGGUUGCAUGUCAAGAUUUUGGUGAUCAGAUGUUUAAUUGAUGGGGGGUCUGGGUAUUUUUCUGCUAAAGCCUAGAUUUUAAGACAAGGCUUUGGUGGAAGCUUUUAAGUCCAAUUGAGUUUUGAGGGUUAAAGCUUUGGUGGAAGCUUGUUUACUUUGAUUGAGAGGUAUUCUGUUUGUUUGUGACUUGAAACCUUGAUGUUCUGUGAUUUACUUUCAAUUUGUUGGCUGUUUGUGUAUUUCUUAUGGACUUGAUUUCUGAUGUUUGGUUCUUUCGAUCUUGCAUGAGUUGUUGCUGGAUUUCUGUAACAAGAAAGCUUUGGUGGAAGCCGUUACUAUUAUAAGAUAAACCCUGAAAUGAGUGAUUUAGAUGUCCUAGCAGAAGUAGCGGUUGAUGGCCAAUCCUCUGUUGGUCUAGAAGCUGCUGCUUCACCUGGACCAUCUCAAUCAGGCAAUGUGGAAGCCAAUAUUGACCCUAUUGCUGAUCAUGUGCCUAUUAUUAUGGAAGCAAAUUUUUAAAAAAAGAAAGGAGAGUCAUCAGAGAUCAGUUGUUUGGGAGCAUUUUGACACUAUCAAAGAUGCUAAAGGUACCAUUAUGUAAGUUAAGUGUCGUUACUGUGCUCGUGUGUAUAAUAUCGUGCCAAAAAAUGGUAAGCCUACUUUAAGAAGUCAUUUGGUUAGAUGCACUAAGCACCCACACAGUAUAGAAACUAGGUAGGCAUUACUCGGUUAUUAAUGUGGAAGCUCAUACUGAUAAUCUGUUUUCUGUUGCUACUUGAAAAUUUGAUCAAGAAGUAGUUAGGCAUGCUAUUGCAUACAUGAUUAUAGUGGAUGAAUUUCCUUUCAA